GACGAACGCUGGCGGCGUGCCUAAUACAUGCAAGUCGAACGCAGUGGGGACGGGGGAGUAACACGUGGGUAACCUCCCAUCAGAGGGGAUAACACUUGGAAACAGGUGCUAAACCGAUACUGAUGGAUGGACCCGCGGUGCAUUAGCUAGUUGGUGAGGUAACGGCUCACCAAGGCCACGAUGCAUAGGCGACCUGUGAGGUGGAUCGGCCACACUGGGAACAAUACGCGGCCCAGACGCCUACGGGAGGCACCAGUAGGGAAUCUUCGGCAAUGGACGAAAUUCUGACCGAGCAACGCCGCGGGAGUGAAGAAGGUUUUCGAAUCUUAAAACUUUGUUGUUAGAGAAGCGGUAUCUAACCAGAAAGCCACGGCUAACUACGUGCCAGCAGCCGCGGUAAUUC
rnacentral:rRNA from 1 species